AAACUGUAAAAUCAUGGGAGAGGAAGUGAAGAUGAGUGAAUACGAAAGUAACGGCGUUAUUAACAAUAACGGUGACGAUGAAGAAAGGGUUAGAGAUUGGGAAUUUGGCUUACCUACAGCCGAUGACCUAACACCGUUAUCUCAACCGUUAAUUCCACCGGAGCUCGCUUCAGCUUUCAGUAUCUCGCCGGAACCUCACCGUAGUAUUAUCGACGUCAACCGUGAAUCUCAAAACACUCUCUUGAGUCUCCGUUCCGCCACUGGCGCGUUUUCAUCAAACAAGUUCAAAUCUUACAAUAACAACGAUGAUCCGACGGCGGAGACGGCGGUGGAGGAGAUUAAUAAUAAUACUAACAAUAAUAAUGAUACGGAUCAGGAGAAGUUACGGAGAAUUGAUUCAGGAGAAGAAGCGGAUUCGGCUCUGAGAACGGAGAAUUUGACCGGCGAAGAUCCGGCGACGGCGAGGACGUUGAAACGACCGCGUUUAGUAUGGACCCCACAGUUACAUAAGAGAUUUGUUGAUGUGGUGGCUUAUUUAGGGAUUAAAAACGCAGUGCCUAAAACGAUAAUGCAACUAAUGAAUGUUGAAGGAUUAACUCGCGAAAAUGUCGCGAGUCAUUUGCAAAAAUAUCGUCUUUAUUUAAAGAGAAUGCAGGGUCUGUCCAGUGAAGGUCCUUCUGCUUCUGAUAAUCAGUUGUUUGCUUCCACACCCGUUCCACAGAGUCUGCAGGAUAAUGGCAACAGCAACGGUAACGCUGGAGAAGGGAAUGGGCACCUGGGGAUGGCUGUUUCCGUUCCUGUUCCGUAUCAUCCGGGAGUGGGACCCAUGAUGACAAUGCCUAUGUAUGGAAUGCAACUGGGAAAUAAUAACAAUAAUCACAAUCAUAACCACAAUCAUCAUCAUCAUCAUCCCUAUAAUAUGAUACAGCACAGAGAUUGGAGUGGAAAUAAUUAUCACAUGUGAUAUUAUAAAGACUUGUUUUUGACACCAAGAGAGAAAGAGGGAAGGUAAAGUGUCUCAGCGGUAGCUGUAAAUUGAAGACCUUCUAGCAUCUCUUAAGAACAUUGAGUUGACUGGCCUCCCAACAAACAGCUGGUUAUCUGCUGAGGAAAUGCUUUGCUGUGAUGCCUUCAUUAAUUCAUGAUAGGCCAAAAUCUUCCCGGAACAAUUUGCAGUAAUCUAUGUUCAAGGAAACUAGAGUUAAAAAGAACGAGGGAAGUUGUAUCAAUUCAAGGAACAAAGAUUUCUUGACAUGCUCAACAAAGAUGUAAAUGGAUUAAGUUACAAACUUCAAAAUGCAAUUGGCUUGUCGUAGCCUUUUGAAAUGCUCAUUUGAAAGUCUGAACCUUCCUCACUCGGUAACAGUAAACAUUUUCCUGACCUGCUGCAGAUAAAAGAAACAGUGAGAUACUGCCAUCAGCAAUUGCCAUGGAAACUUAUCUGCAGUAUUAAGACCCUUCUAAGAAUGUUGAUAUUGGAUUUAUGCAUCGGAAUUCAUUAUCAAUAACCAUCCUGCUGUUUUUCUCCCUAUAGGAUUCAACUUUUAGAAUUUAUGAUGCAAAGUGGAGCCAAAUUGACCUAAAAUCACCUGAUGUA